CAGUCGCGUUCUCUGGGAUUCAGCCUUGCUUCUUGCUUGGUGCAUUUCCUAGUCUACGGGCCAGCAUGAAUUUUGAUUGUCAUAAAAAGGUUAAGGGGAUGUGGCUCCUUCGGGAGUGUUAUAACCCUUAGCGGAAUGUGGCGAUUGGGAUUGAGGAUUGCAACGAAUACCUUUAGGGCAGUUCCGUCUGGUCUCUUGUUGACGUUCAGAUAGCAACAGCUUGCUUUUGUGUUUGAAUUAGUUAGCAAAUAGAUUAGAAAGUGAAUUAAUUCGUUAAGGAUGC
rnacentral:rRNA from 1 species